rnacentral:tRNA from 1 species
GGAGGAUUAGCUCAGCUGGGAGAGCACCUGCCUUACAAGCAGGGGGUCGGCGGUUCGAUCCCGUCAUCCUCCACC